rnacentral:rRNA from 1 species
GGCGAACGCUGGCGGCGUGCUUAACACAUGCAAGUCGAACGGAAAGGCCCUGCUUUUGUGGGGUGCUCGAGUGGCGAACGGGUGAGUAACACGUGAGUAACCUGCCCUUGACUUUGGGAUAACUUCAGGAAACUGGGGCUAAUACCGGAUAGGAGCUCCUGCUGCAUGGUGGGGGUUGGAAAGUUUCGGCGGUUGGGGAUGGACUCGCGGCUUAUCAGCUUGUUGGUGGGGUAGUGGCUUACCAAGGCUUUGACGGGUAGCCGGCCUGAGAGGGUGACCGGCCACAUUGGGAAUGAGAUACGGCCCAGACUCCUACGGGAGGCAGCAGUGGGGAAUAUUGCACAAUGGGCGGAAGCCUGAUGCAGCAACGCCGCGUGCGGGAUGACGGCCUUCGGGUUGUAAACCGCUUUCGCCUGUGACGAAGCGUGAGUGACGGUAAUGGGUAAAGAAGCACCGGCUAACUACGUG